rnacentral:rRNA from 2 species
GAGUGAGUGGCGGACGGGUGAGUAACACGUGGGUAACCUGCCCUAAAGUGGGGGAUAACAUUUGGAAACAGAUGCUAAUACCGCAUAAAACCUAACACCGCAUGGUGUAGGGUUGAAAGAUGGUUUCGGCUAUCACUUUAGGAUGGACCCGCGGUGCAUUAGUUAGUUGGUGAGGUAAAGGCUCACCAAGACCGUGAUGCAUAGCCGACCUGAGAGGGUAAUCGGCCACACUGGGACUGAGACACGGCCCAGACUCCUACGGGAGGCAGCAGUAGGGAAUCUUCCACAAUGGACGAAAGUCUGAUGGAGCAACGCCGCGUGAGUGAAGAAGGUUUUCGGAUCGUAAAACUCUGUUGUUGGAGAAGAAUGUAUCUGAUAGUAACUGAUCAGGUAGUGACGGUAUCCAACCAGAAAGCCACGGCUAACUACGUGCCAGCAGCCGCGGUAAUACGUAGGUGGCAAGCGUUGUCCGGAUUUAUUGGGCGUAAAGCGAGCGCAGGCGGUUUCUUAAGUCUGAUGUGAAAGCCUUCGGCUCAACCGAAGAAGUGCAUCGGAAACUGGGAAACUUGAGUGCAGAAGAGGACAGUGGAACUCCAUGUGUAGCGGUGAAAUGCGUAGAUAUAUGGAAGAACACCAGUGGCGAAGGCGGCUGUCUGGUCUGUAACUGACGCUGAGGCUCGAAAGCAUGGGUAGCAAACAGGAUUAGAUACCCUGGUAGUCCAUGCCGUAAACGAUGAGUGCUAGGUGUUGGAGGGUUUCCGCCCUUCAGUGCCGCAGCUAACGCAUUAAGCACUCCGCCUGGGGAGUACGACCGCAAGGUUGAAACUCAAAGGAAUUGACGGGGGCCCGCACAAGCGGUGGAGCAUGUGGUUUAAUUCGAAGCAACGCGAAGAACCUUACCAGGUCUUGACAUCCUUUGACCACUCUAGAGAUAGAGCUUUCCCUUCGGGGACAAAGUGACAGGUGGUGCAUGGUUGUCGUCAGCUCGUGUCGUGAGAUGUUGGGUUAAGUCCCGCAACGAGCGCAACCCUUAUUACUAGUUGCCAGCAUUUAGUUGGGCACUCUAGUGAGACUGCCGGUGACAAACCGGAGGAAGGUGGGGACGACGUCAAAUCAUCAUGCCCCUUAUGACCUGGGCUACACACGUGCUACAAUGGAUGGUACAACGAGUUGCGAGACCGCGAGGUUUAGCUAAUCUCUUAAAACCAUUCUCAGUUCGGAUUGUAGGCUGCAACUCGCCUACAUGAAGCCGGAAUCGCUAGUAAUCGCGGAUCAGCAUGCCGCGGUGAAUACGUUCCCGGGCCUUGUACACACCG